UAAUUAAAUUUGGUUAAAAGAAAAUUCUAUUCUAAGUUCUUUAUAAAAUAUAAAUGAAAUUAUAAAAUUUUAGAAGAUAAAAUUUAAUUAAUAAGUAAAUAUUAUUGAGAUUUAGAAAAAACUCUAGUUAAUUUUGUGCCAGCAACAGCGGUUAUACAAAAAGAGAUUUUUUUUUUUAAUUAUUUAAUUUAAUUAUUAUUAUUUUUAUUAUUAUAAUAAGGUGAAAUUUUUAUAAAAAUAUUUAUAGCUUAAAUUAAAAUUAAAAUUCUAUAAUAAACUAGGAUUAGAUACCCUAUUAUUAAGAGCUUUAUAUUGUUAGUAUAUAUAAUAUAUGAAAACAAAAAAUUAUGGCGGUAUUUUAAGCUUUUCAGAGGAAUUUGCUCUUUAAUGGAUAAAACACCAAAAUCUUACUAAAAUUGGUUAAGCAGUUUGUAUACCACUAUUAAAAUAAUAAUUCAUUAUUAUUAUUUUAUUUUAAUAUUAAUUAAAAAAAAUUAAGUCAAGGUGCAGCAAAAAUUUUAGAAUGAAGUGAAUUACAUUUCUUUGGAGAAAUUUUAAAAUUAAAAAAAAAUUAGGAUUUGAAAGUAAAAUUUUAAUAGAAUGAAAAUUUGAAUUAAGCUCUAAAAUAUGUACAUAUCGCCCGUCGCUCUUUUAUAAAGAUAAGUCGUAACAAAGUUAAAAUACUGGAAAGUGUUUU
rnacentral:rRNA from 1 species